CCUACGGGGGGCUGCAGUGGGGAAUUUUGGACAAUGGGGGCAACCCUGAUCCAGCCAUGCCGCGUGAGUGAAGAAGGCCUUCGGGUUGUAAAGCUCUUUCGGCCGGGAAGAAAUCGCUCAAGCUAAUACCUUGGGUGGAUGACGGUACCGGAAGAAGAAGCACCGGCUAACUACGUGCCAGCAGCCGCGGUAAUACGUAGGGUGCGAGCGUUAAUCAGGCGUGCGCAGCCUGAAGCGUAAGACGGCGGUGAAAUCCCCGGGCUUAACCGGGGAACUGCGUUUGUGACUGUGGUGCUCGAGUGCGGCAGAGGGGGGUGGAAUUCCACGUGUAGCAGUGAAAUGCGUAGAGAUGUGGAGGAACACCGAUGGCGAAGGCAGCCCCCUGGGUCGACACUGACGCUCAUGCACGAAAGCGUGGGGAGCAAACAGGAUUAGAUACCCGUGUAGUC
rnacentral:rRNA from 1 species